GAUGAACGCUGGCGGCGUGCCUAAUACAUGCCAGUCGAGCGAACGGACUAGAAGCUUGCUUCACUGAUGUUAGCGGCGGACGGGUGAGUAACACGUGGAUAACCUACCUAUAAGACUGGGAUAACUUCUGGAAACCGGAGCUAAUACCGGAUAAUAUUUUUAACCGCAUGGUUCAAGAGUGAAAGACGGUCUUGCUGUCACUUAUAGAUGUAUCCGCGCUUCAUUGGCUAGUUGGUAAGGUAACGCCUUACCAAGGCAACGAAGCAUAGCCGACCUGAGAGGGGGAUCGGCAAAAUGGGAACGGAGACACGGGCAAGACUCCUACGGGAGGAAGAAGAAGGGAAUCUUCCGCAAUGGGCGAAAGCCUGACGGAGCAACGCCGCGUGAGUGAUGAAGGUCUUCGGAUCGUAAAACUCUGUUAUUAGGGAAGAACAUAUGUGGAAGUAACUGUGCACAAAGUGACGGUACCUAAUCAGAAAGCCACGGCUAACUACGUG
rnacentral:rRNA from 1 species